rnacentral:lncRNA from 10 species
GAAGAAAGGAGAGAGGGAGAGAGCCAGAAAACAGAGCAAGAUAAAGGAAGAGAAUGCACCUGAAAUAGACACAAGGAUAAAUGGAUCAAGGAGAGAGGAGAAACAGAUAAUCACAACAGCGAAUAUUUGUUAAAUGCAUGCUCUUUGCCAGGCAUCCCUCUUCAGGAAGGAGCUUCCUGUGUUUUCUCUGGGAACUCACCUGUUUUCCACUCCAGACUCUCCAAGAUAUGCAGAGCUUUGGGCCAGGAUCCUACAGCCACGGGUCAUGCAGAGCCAGUUGGCCACAUCCUUUGGGCCAAAUUUGGUCCUAACCAGGUCUUACCACGGUAACUGCUAACCAGUCCAUCUUCAGUUAAUAUUUCAUGCGUAAGAUGUUUCAUGAAGUAACUGAAUGGGCUAAUGGGUUGUUCACUGGAUAAGACUCCCAGAUACUCCCUUUCAUGCCAUUCCCCAGAAUUCCUUCACCUCCCAGUGCUGUCUGUAAGGGUGAAGAUACUCCAUUUUGCCCCAUGCUCUUUGCUGUGCCCCAGAUAGGCUCAAACAUUUUUCCCUUUUGGGGAUUUUGCAGGUAGGAAUUGUUGAACAUCUUACCAUUUAAUCCAGAAGUUAUGUCCUUUAAGGAAUCGACCCUGAGCCUGUGAGUUUUACUUUGGGUUGGGGGUGAAGGAGUGGACCUUGCAGCAUUCAAGGUCAUCCAAGAUCAUCCAGUUAAGGCCCCUAAGGUCACUACGGGGGGAAAAGCCUGGUGAGGGAAGAGAAAGCAUUAGGGGGAGCUGCACCGUGCUGAGAAAUAACACCACACAGAAGUCUGUGUUCUAAUCUCAGCUCUGCUUUGCAUUACUGUGUGACCUGGAGCUGAUCACAGCCCUCUGAGUCUUAAAGGGGUUGGACAAGGCCAACUAAACAUUAGAAACACCUGAAAGUGCUGGUUAAAAGGAAGAAUGCAUGAGCUUCACUCCAGAUUUACUAUAUCAGAAUUUCCAGGGUCAGGGUCCAAGAAUCUGCAUGUUUAAUACGCUUUCCACAUGAUUUUUCCCCCCUCUGGACUUAAGAAAACAAUGGGCAAGUCAGCUCAUGAAGAACUUUUCAGAUAUUCAGACUAUUAUUCUGAGAGAGAAAAUAUUGGCAGAGAACAGAUGGGAUUUUUCUCAAGGAAAAGAAAUGGAAAUCCUACAUCUUGCAAGAAAUAGAAAAAAAUAAAUAAACUGUUUGAAGAAGAAUCACAUCAGGCUGGCAGGAGAGAGCCUGCGGCUCGGUGUCUGACCCAGAAUGUUAAAGCCAGCCUGGCUUGGCUCCAGGAUAAAGGACACUCUGUCAGCCUCUCCACAUUGAUUCAUCUCCCCAGCCCCAAGAUCAGGAGAGCAUUCUGUUCCUUGAAGCAUUUUAUGACUGUAAGUCAGAAGUGCUGCAGUUUUAAUAAAAAGCUGUAUUGUCCUGAUCUUGUGCAAUAUACUGAACUAUCAUUUUCCAACUGUUGGCUUGCAUACUGGUUUGUGUGAGUAAGCCCGUCCAUCCACAUCACUAAAAGAUAGUAGUAGUAACAACAAUGAC